AUACGGAGGAUCCGAGCGUUAUCCGGAUUUAUUGGGUUUAAAGGGUGCGCAGGCGGCCAUUUAAGUCAGCGGUUAAAUCGUGGGGCUCAACCCCAUUCUGCCGUUGAUACUGGGUGGCUUGAUUGCGGUCGAGGUUGGCGGAAUUCGUUGUGUAGCGGUGAAAUGCAUAGAUAUGACGAAGAACACCGAUUGUGUAGGCAGCUGACCAGACCGCAAAUGACGCUCAUGCACGAAAGUGCGGGGAUCGAACAGGAUUAGAUACCCUGGUAGUCCGCACAGUAAACGAUGAAUACUUGUUUUCGGCGAUAUAAUGUCGGAGGCAAAGCGAAAGCGAUAAGUAUUCCACCUGGGGAGUACGCCGGCAACGGUGAAACUCAAAUGAAUUGACGGGG
rnacentral:rRNA from 1 species